rnacentral:misc_RNA from 1 species
UGUGUUUUAACUACAAACUCUAUAUUAUUUCUCAUAAUUCUGAUAAAAAAUGGAACUGAAUUGGACUUUACAUUAUUGUUUUUACAAAUUUAAUUUACAUUGUGUAAUGGGGUUGACCCCAGUCUUUGAUCUUAUACCAAAUCAAAGAAAUAAAAGAAUUUCUGUAUGACUUCUAUAAAAAGAAUUCUGAUCUUCCCCAUAUUUCUCCCCUCCCCUGCCUGCAUAAAUUCAACCUCUAUAAUCUUCUUGAUUUCUUCCAUCUUUUUGUAUUUCUUUACCUAUAUAAUCUGUACCUUUCUUGAUCUUAUCAACCAAUUGCUGAUGGAAAUCCUGCCUGUGAAUGGAUCUUCCAAGAAGAGUUUAUAAUUAUCUGGAAAAAAAUUUUUUGCGAUCCUAGACUAAUAAACUAUGCUUUAUUUGAGCGAUCUUUGGCUAAUUCUUUUUCUCCAGAUUGCAAUUCAUUCACUUCAGCAUUGUGUGGUUUAACAGAACCAUCUACAGAAUGGUGUUCUUGUUCAUGAUGAGCUUGAAAUGUCCAUAUCAGAACCAGAAACACCAUACUCAAUGACAGAAACAGCAUUGACCCCCAUACCAUCCGAACGUACUUCUUCAAUGGUUUGCAGUGUUUUGUAAGGAUUUCAGAAAAUGCAUCCUUCACUGAUUGGCAUUCUACCAGGCUUUCCAUAUCUGGGUAUGCGUUUAGCAGGUUCUGAAUUGAAGUUGUGUAAUCCUCCAUUGUUCUGAAAUCAUUGAUUGAUAUGAAUUGUCCAGCACUACAUGUGCCAUUGUUGGUACCAGAACAAGUAAGUGGUUCCAACAUCUUUGGGAUGUCUCCGAUUUUAAUUGUGUUAGUUGGGCAAUUAUUUGCCUGGUAUUGAUACUCUGGUGGUCCUGAGAAAGGAUUGCACACUUGUACUACUGAUAUGUUUUCAUUCACCUGAUUAACAAUGUUGUAGAUCCCUUCACUGACAUCAGUCAAGACUGGUUUUGCAUCGAGCAAUUCCUCGCAGGGAAGGAUCGAACUCAAGCUGUUGUUAUAAGGAUCCUUUUGGAAGGUUUCAAGAGCUGUGCAGGUAUCGCCAGAGAACUUUCCUAAGAAGAAAUACACCCCAAAGAACACCCAGCAUAGAGCAGUCAGGAUCCAACAGAGUACAAUAAGCAGGUUAAGAGCUCGGCGUAGGCGCAGUGUUCCACAAACUGAAAGAGAAAUCACAGCAGCCAGGUUCAAGGAAAUAGUGACUAUUGUUAUUAUAUACACUAUCUUGAGACCUUUCUCAAUAAGACGCCUGUUUUUCCUUGCUUGCCUUUCAAUAUCAGCAGCUUGAUCGUCUAGUUUCUGUGAUGUGGAGGUAAGGAAGCUAGAAGCUUGUUCUGCACUUACAUUAGAGGCUUGUAGAUUAUCUCUUAUUUCUUUCAUUGCUCCUGUUGUGUUAUAUAUUGUUUCUGAUGCACCAUCUGCUGUGUCAAUGAUGAUGUUCACCACAGUUCUUGCUCUCGAACGGAAUUUUGCAUUCCCUCCAAGAACUAACCCAGUAGCAGUUAUUGCCAAGAUAGUGAACAAAAUAGCCAAGAUAACAGGCCAAAGAGAACAUUGUUUAUUGCAAGGCAAUCUUUUCUUGUUCAGCUUUUCUUUCCUUCUACUUUUACAACAGUAAGUAUUUGCCAGAAGAAUGCUUCCAUAUAUUAUUCCAGCUAGAAGCCAGAGCACCCCAAUUGCAUAUCCAUAAACUCCUGUAAAUAUAGUCGAACUCCAAUAAUGCUUGUUGGUGACAUCAUAUCCUCCUCUGUAUUUCUUGAAAUUGUCUAGAGGAUCCACCCUCACAGUGUCAUCGGAAUGUAAGACAUUGUUUGUUUCAACGGAAUUAGAACCUGGAUCAGAACUAUUGGUUAGUAGUGUUUGUCCAGCAAUGAAAUUUGAACUUAAAAUGCUGACCAAGAAAAUUAGAGGCAAGACCAAUUGAGUUUGAUAAUUGGAAGCCAUCUUUAACCUGAACUGAGAACUGCAGCAGCUUCAAUGGCUCUCAACUUUCUGCAACUUGAAUAUUUUGAACCUGUGCUUUGAUCUUAUGACAAAUAAUCUUUGAAAAUUCUGAUAUGAAAAUGCUCCAAUCCUCAAACAGAAAGUACCCUUCACACGAAAAGCUUUAAUACAAUCCAGAAAUUAAUCCCAGCUUUUCUGGUAAAAAAUUAAAUAUCAGCAAAACCCAGUAAAGAAAGUUCAACGGAUA